rnacentral:snoRNA from 1 species
ACAAGAUGAUUCCCUAGAUGACGAGUCUUAUCCGAGUUUUCGAUGCAGACAAAAUCUUUUAUUAAUACCAUUCAUGCAUAACUGAAU